AGUGAACGCUGGCGGCAUGCCUAACACAUGCAAGUCGAACGGCCGCACGGUAAGCUUUUUCUCUUACUGUUGGCGACUGACGGACGGGUGACGCAUACAUCGCCUUCUACUUUUUCUUGGGUGAUUACGUAGGAACACUUCCGCUACUACCUCAUACUUUCUACCGCUUAAAUCAGGGGAUCUUCGCACCUUUCCCGUUUCUAUUAGCCGGUGUCGCAUUAGCUAGUUGGCUGGGUAACGGCCCACCAAGGCGACGAUGCGUAGCUGGUCUGAGAGGAUGAUCAGCCACACUGGAACUGAGACACGGUCCAGACUCCUACGGGAGGCAGCAGUAGGGAAUAUUGGACAAUGGGCGAAAGCCUGAUGCAGCAAUACCGCGUGAGUGAAGAAGGCCUUCGGGUUGUAAAACUCUUUUGUUAGGAAAGAAAAGAAGUAGGAGAAAACCCGGAUGUUUUGACGGUACCUAAAGAAUAAGCAACGGCUAACUUCGUG
rnacentral:rRNA from 1 species